rnacentral:rRNA from 1 species
GUUUGAUCCUGGCUCAGGAUGAACGCUGGCGGCGUGCUUAACACAUGCAAGUCGAACGAUCCUUCGGGAUAGUGGCGGACGGGUGAGUAACGCGUGGGAAUCUGCCCUCAGGAGGGGGAUAACGGCUGGAAACGGCCGCUAAUACCCCAUAUGCCGAGAGGUGAAAUGAAUUUCGCCUGAGGAUGAGCCCGCGUCUGAUUAGCUAGUUGGUGGGGUAAAGGCCUACCAAGGCAACGAUCAGUAGCUGGUCUGAGAGGAUGAUCAGCCACACUGGGACUGAGACACGGCCCAGACUCCUACGGGAGGCAGCAGUGGGAAAUUUUCCGCAAUGGGCGAAAGCCUGACGGAGCAACGCCGCGUGAGGGAUGAAGGCCUCUGGGCUGUAAACCUCUUUUCUCAAGGAAGAAGACCUGACGGUACUUGAGGAAUAAGCCACGGCUAAUUCCGUGCCAGCAGCCGCGGUAAUACGGGAGUGGCAAGCGUUAUCCGGAAUUAUUGGGCGUAAAGCGUCCGCAGGCGGCCUUGUAAGUCUGUUGUUAAAGCGUGGAGCUCAACUCCAUUUAAGCAAUGGAAACUACAAGGCUGGAGUGUGGUAGGGGCAGAGGGAAUUCCCGGUGUAGCGGUGAAAUGCGUAGAUAUCGGGAAGAACACCAGUGGCGAAGGCGCUCUGCUGGGCCAUAACUGACGCUCAUGGACGAAAGCCAGGGUAGCGAAAGGGAUUAGAUACCCCUGUAGUCCUGGCCGUAAACGAUGAACACUAGGUGUCGGGGGAAUCGACCCCCUCGGUGUCGUAGCCAACGCGUUAAGUGUUCCGCCUGGGGAGUACGCACGCAAGUGUGAAACUCAAAGGAAUUGACGGGGGCCCGCACAAGCGGUGGAGUAUGUGGUUUAAUUCGAUGCAACGCGAAGAACCUUACCAGGGUUUGACAUCCUGCGAACCCCUGAGAAAUCGGGGGGUGCCUUCGGGAGCGCAGAGACAGGUGGUGCAUGGCUGUCGUCAGCUCGUGUCGUGAGAUGUUGGGUUAAGUCCCGCAACGAGCGCAACCCACGUCUUUAGUUGCCAGCAUUCAGUUGGGCACUCUAGAGAGACCGCCGGUGAUAAACCGGAGGAAGGUGUGGAUGACGUCAAGUCAUCAUGCCCCCUACAUCCUGGGCUACACACGUACUACAAUGCUACGGACAAAGGGCAGCAAGCUCGCGAGAGUUAGCAAAUCCCAUAAACCGUGGCUCAGUUCAGAUCGUAGGCUGCAACUCGCCUACGUGAAGGAGGAAUCGCUAGUAAUCGCAGGUCAGCAUACUGCGGUGAAUACGUUCCCGGGCCUUGUACACACCGCCCGUCACACCAUG